UAUAGAGGUCUCAAGCGUUGUUCGGAUUCAUUGGGCGUAAAGGGUGUGUAGGUGGCGCGCUAAGUCGGGUGUGAAAUUUCGGAGCUUAACUCCGAAACUGCAUUCGAUACUGGCGUGCUUGAGGACUGGAGAGGAGACUGGAAUUCAUGGUGUAGCAGUGAAAUGCGUAGAGAUCAUGAGGAAGACCAGUGGCGAAGGCAGGUCUCUGGACAGUUCCUGACACUGAGACACGAAGGCCAGGGGAGCAAACGGG
rnacentral:rRNA from 1 species